rnacentral:rRNA from 1 species
CCCUUAGAUGUCCUGGGCCGCACGCGCGCUACACUGAGUGUCUGAGAUACGAGUCUGCCUGGUCCGGCAAGGUCUAGGUAAUCGCUAAAAGACACAUCAUGCUUGGGAUAGAUUAUUGCAAAUAUUAAUCUUGAACGAGGAAUUCCUAGUAAGCGCAAGUCAACAGCUUGCGUUGAUUACGUCCCUGCCCUUUGUACACACCGCCCGUCGCUACUACUGAUUGGAUGUUUAAGCGAGGUUCUCGAACUGCUAGCGACUUAGCUUCGGUGAGGUCGCAGUGUGGGAAGUGAACCUAGCUCUGGUGUCUAGAGGAAGUAAAAGUCGUAACA